rnacentral:rRNA from 1 species
CCUACGGGAGGCAGCAGUGAGGAAUAUUGGUCAAUGGGCGAGAGCCUGAACCAGCCAAGUCGCGUGAGGGAAGACGGCCCUAUGGAUUGUAAACCUCUUUUAUCUGGGAGUAAAAUGCGGUAUGUGUACUGCUUUGUGAGUACCCUGUGAAUAAGGAUCGGCUAACUCCGUGCCAGCAGCCGCGGUAAUACGGAGGAUGCGAGCGUUAUCCGGAUUUAUUGGGUUUAAAGGGAGCGUAGGCGGCCGGUUAAGUCAGGGGUGAAAGUUUGGGGCUCAACCGGGACAUGGCAGUUGAUACUGGGUGGCUAGAGUGAGGGAGAGGGAGGCGGAAUGCGUGGUGUAGCGGUGAAAUGCAUAGAUAUCACGAAGAACUCCGAUGGCGAAGGCAGCUUACUGGACUGUAACUGACGCUGAGGCUCGAAAGCGUGGGUAUCGAACAGGAUUAGAUACCCUUGUAGUC